rnacentral:rRNA from 1 species
AGCGGAGGGAUCAUUACUGAGUUUACGCUCUACAACCCUUUGUGAACAUACCUAUAACUGUUGCUUCGGCGGGUAGGGUCUCCGCGACCCUCCCGGCCUCCCGCCUCCGGGCGGGUCGGCGCCCGCCGGAGGAUAACCAAACUCUGAUUUAACGACGUUUCUUCUGAGUGGUACAAGCAAAUAAUCAAAACUUUUAACAACGGAUCUCUUGGUUCUGGCAUCGAUGAAGAACGCAGCGAAAUGCGAUAAGUAAUGUGAAUUGCAGAAUUCAGUGAAUCAUCGAAUCUUUGAACGCACAUUGCGCCCGCCAGCAUUCUGGCGGGCAUGCCUGUUCGAGCGUCAUUUCAACCCUCAAGCUCUGCUUGGUGUUGGGGCCCUACAGCUGAUGUAGGCCCUCAAAGGUAGUGGCGGACCCUCCCGGAGCCUCCUUUGCGUAGUAACUUUACGUCUCGCACUGGGAUCCGGAGGGACUCUUGCCGUAAAACCCCCAAUUUUCCAAAGGUUGACCUCGGAUCAGG